rnacentral:rRNA from 1 species
GACGAACGCUGGCGGCGUGCUUAACACAUGCAAGUCGAACGGUGAAAGAGGAGCUUGCUCCUCUGGAUCAGUGGCGAACGGGUGAGUAACACGUGAGCAAUCUGCCCCGAACUCUGGGAUAAGCGCUGGAAACGGCGUCUAAUACCGGAUACGAGACGAGAAGGCAUCUUCAUCGUCUGGAAAGAACUUCGGUUCGGGAUGAGCUCGCGGCCUAUCAGCUAGUUGGUGGGGUAACGGCUCACCAAGGCGACGACGGGUAGCCGGCCUGAGAGGGUGAGCGGCCACACUGGGACUGAGACACGGCCCAGACUCCUACGGGAGGCAGCAGUGGGGAAUAUUGCACAAUGGGCGAAAGCCUGAUGCAGCAACGCCGCGUGAGGGUCGACGGCCGUCGGGUUGUAAACCUCUUUUAGCAGGGAAGAAGCGAAAGUGACGGUACCUGCAGAAAAAGCACCGGCUAACUACGUGCCAGCCGCCGCAGUAAAAC